GGCAUGAUGGUUUAGUGGUUAGCACUGUUGCCUUGUACCUCUGGGAUUGGGGGUUCAAAUCCCCCCUCUACCC